GUAAUCUUUUAGAUAGACCACCAGUAAUAUAUCAUCUUGUCACUUCUAGAAGUCACGCAAGCAGGAUCGUGGGCUGCAGACAUAUUGUGGGGCAGCUAAGGUGAGGACACGCAGGAUGGCUUUUGUUCACAAAAGACAGAUUGAAUAUUGAGAUUACUCACAAAUGACUGAAAAAUGGUGCUGGGUGUCAUUUUUGAAGGCUUCCCAUACCCUGCUUGGACUCAGGCCCAUCCUCAGGGCCUGACCUGACCUGAACUUGGCUUUUCCUGAUUCCAGAGAGGAACCUGGAGCUGGGGCUGUCCUUCUGUUCCCCGUCAGCCUGGACAACCUCUGAGCUCCUGGCAUUUCUGGUCCUGGGGAGCUGCCAGCCUGCACAGUGCCAUGACAGACCAACAGCAAAGAUUCUGCUCAGGACUGUACACGGAGUGACAAAAAACAGAGUGGUGAAAGUCAAUGAAGAAUCAGAAUCUGCAGAGAAAGUUGGAGGACAGACAGUGGUUGUGGACACAUCAGGAAUUUUGAUUGUUUUUACUGUUAGUUAUGUAUGUGGGGACAGUCCUAGAUAUCUCUUAACAACUUUCACCGUGAAAAACUCAAGAAUGCAAACUGGAGAGUAA
ensembl:lncRNA